rnacentral:tRNA from 1 species
GCGGGCGUCGUAUAAUGACCAUUAUCGUAGCUUCCCAAGCUACAGACGUGGGUUCGAUUCCCAUCGCCCGCU